GGAGACGUAAGAAUGAAUAAAUAAAAGUAGUGAACGGCAUGUCCAUCAUUGUAAUGGAGUAAAAUUAAGGAUCAUUCUUCUCAUAAACGCUCAAGUAAUAGUAAAAGAACAAGACUUCGAAACGCUACGUUCGUGACCGUCUCACCCUGUGUGCCCACGACUACGAAAGGUAUCUCGGUGACAGGCCGGUGGACAGCAAGCUGGUGGUAGAUCUUGUACACUUCCUGGAAACUGGCCUCGUUUUCCAAACUGAAGACCAGGAUAACCGCGUCCAGCCAGCUUGCAAACUGAAAGGAGGCAGACAAGGUGAGGCAAUUGAGGAGUGUUUCACACUUAUGUCGAUCUGCAGCCAAUUUGGAGUUCAGUGUAUCGCCCAAGGACACUUCAACAGUGGCCAUUCGAAUUCCCAGCCCUUUGCUCAGUUGACCACCCCAGAAUUAGAAAAAAACAUCUU